rnacentral:rRNA from 1 species
UACGGCCAUAUACCGUUGAAACACUAGUUCCCGUACAAUCAUCGAAGUUAAGCAACGUCGAACCUGGUCAGUGCCUAGAUGGGUGACUUCUUGGGAAAUGUGCGGGAUG